rnacentral:rRNA from 1 species
GACGAACGCUGGCGGCGUGCCUAAUACAUGCAAGUCGAGCGAGCUUGCCUAGAUGAAUUUGGUGCUUGCACCAGAUGAAACUAGAUACAAGCGAGCGGCGGACGGGUGAGUAACACGUGGGUAACCUGCCCAAGAGACUGGGAUAACACCUGGAAACAGAUGCUAAUACCGGAUAACAACACUAGACGCAUGUCUAGAGUUUAAAAGAUGGUUCUGCUAUCACUCUUGGAUGGACCUGCGGUGCAUUAGCUAGUUGGUAAGGUAACGGCUUACCAAGGCAAUGAUGCAUAGCCGAGUUGAGAGACUGAUCGGCCACAUUGGGACUGAGACACGGCCCAAACUCCUACGGGAGGCAGCAGUAGGGAAUCUUCCACAAUGGACGCAAGUCUGAUGGAGCAACGCCGCGUGAGUGAAGAAGGGUUUCGGCUCGUAAAGCUCUGUUGGUAGUGAAGAAAGAUAGAGGUAGUAACUGGCCUUUAUUUGACGGUAAUUACUUAGAAAGUCACGGCUAACUACGUGCCAGCAGCCGCGGUAAUACGUAGGUGGCAAGCGUUGUCCGGAUUUAUUGGGCGUAAAGCGAGUGCAGGCGGUUCAAUAAGUCUGAUGUGAAAGCCUUCGGCUCAACCGGAGAAUUGCAUCAGAAACUGUUGAACUUGAGUGCAGAAGAGGAGAGUGGAACUCCAUGUGUAGCGGUGGAAUGCGUAGAUAUAUGGAAGAACACCAGUGGCGAAGGCNGCUCUCUGGUCUGCAACUGACGCUGAGGCUCGAAAGCAUGGGUAGCGAACAGG